UACGUAGGGUGCGAGCGUUAAUCGGAAUUACUGGGCGUAAAGCGUGCGCAGGCGGUUUGUUAAGACAGAUGUGAAAUCCCCGGGCUUAACCUGGGAACUGCAUUUGUGACUGGCAAGCUAGAGUAUGGCAGAGGGGGGUAGAAUUCCACGUGUAGCAGUGAAAUGCGUAGAGAUGUGGAGGAAUGCCGAUGGCGAAGGCAGCCCCCUGGGCCAAUACUGACGCUCAUGCACGAAAGCGUGGGGAGCAAACAGG
rnacentral:rRNA from 1 species